CAACGCCCUUCGGGGCUUCGUGGUGAUUCAUGAUAACUUUUCGAAUCGCAUGGCCUUGCGCCGGCGAUGGUUCAUUCAAAUUUCUUCCCUAUCAACUUUCGAUGCGAAGGUCUUGUCUUCGCAUGGUUGCAACGGGUAACGGAGGGUUAGGGCUCGACCCCGGAGAAGGAGCCUGAGAAACGGCUACUACAUCCAAGGAAGGCAGCAGGCGCGCAAAUUACCCAAUCCCGACACGGGGAGGUAGUGACAAUAAAUACUGAUACAGGGCUCUUUUGGGUCUUGUAAUCGGAAUGAGUACAAUUUAAAUCCCUUAACGAGGAACAAUUGGAGGGCAAGUCUGGUGCCAGCAGCCGCGGUAAUUCCAGCUCCAAUAGCGUAUAUUAAAGUUGUUGUGGUUAAAAAGCUCGUAGUUGAACCUUGGGCCUGGCUGGCCGGUCCCCCUCACCGGGUGCACUGAUCCAGCCGGGCCUUUCCCUCUGUGGAACCCCAUGGCCUUCACUGGCCGUGGCGGGGAAACAGGACUUUUACUUUGAAAAAAUUAGAGUGCUCCAGGCAGGCCUAUGCUCGAAUACAUUAGCAUGGAAUAAUAGAAUAGGACGUGUGGUUCUAUUUUGUUGGUUUCUAGGACCGCCGUAAUGAUUAAUAGGGACAGUCGGGGGCAUCAGUAUUCAAUUGUCAGAGGUGAAAUUCUUGGAUCUAUUGAAGACUAACUACUGCGAAAGCAUUUGCCAAGGAUGUUUUCAUUGAUAA
rnacentral:rRNA from 1 species